UUCCUCGAGUUGAACUUGAUAAUCAUAAAGAAAUAGAUCUAGAUCACAUGACCUGAAGUUCCUCAUAGUCUCUAAAGCCUCUGGGCAAACCUCGAACAUACCAGGUGGUUCUGGGAGAGUAUGACUGGUCUGUGGAGGAAGGGGAAGAGCAAGUGAUUCCUGUCAACCCUGAUGAGAAAUGGGACCCCAACUGUGUGGCCUGUGGAUGACAGCAGAACAUUAGAGAGGAGCCAGAGCUGGCUUGGAGGAGCCCUUUCAACAGCAGAAGUAAAAACACC